AUUGAACGCUGGCGGCAUGCCUUACACAUGCAAGUCGAACGGCAGCACGGGAGCAAUCCUGGUGGCGAGUGGCGAACGGGUGAGUAAUAUAUCGGAACGUGCCCAGUCGUGGGGAUAACGUAGCGAAAGCUACGCUAAUACCGCAUACGAUCUAUGGAUGAAAGCGGGGGAUCGCAAGACCUCGCGCGAUUGGAGCGGCCGAUAUCAGAUUAGGUAGUUGGUGAGGUAAAGGCUCACCAAGCCGACGAUCUGUAGCUGGUCUGAGAGGACGACCAGCCACACUGGGACUGAGACACGGCCCAGACUCCUACGGGAGGCAGCAGUGGGGAAUUUUUGGACAAUGGGCGGCAAGCCUGAUCCAGCAAUGCCGCGUGCAGGAUGAAGGCC
rnacentral:rRNA from 1 species